rnacentral:rRNA from 1 species
GCUUGUCUCAAAGAUUAAGCCAUGCAUGUCUUAGUGUAAAUAACUCUUAUGAAACUGCGAAUGGCUCAUUAAAUCAGUUAUCAAAUACGUGAUGGUCGCCUACUACAUGGAUAACCGUAGUAAUUCUAGAGCUAAUACAUGCACCAAGCGCGCUUUUACGAGCGCGUGUAUUUAUUAGAUACAAUCAACCCUUCGGGUUUUGAUGAGUCAUAAUAACUGAACUAAGCGCAUGCUUUGGCGGCGCUGUUUCAUUCAAGUUUCUGCCCUAUCAGCUUUCGAUGGUAGGGUAUUGGCCUACCAUGGCGUUCACGGGUAACGGAGAAUUAGGGUUCGAUUCCGGAGAGGGAGCCUGAGAGAUGGCUACCACAUCCAAGGAAGGCAGCAGG